rnacentral:rRNA from 1 species
UACGAAGGGGGCGAGCGUUGUUCGGAUUUACUGGGCGUAAAGGGCGCGCAGGCGGUUCUGUUUGUCGAGUGUGAAAGCCCCGGGCUCAACCUGGGAACUGCGCUCGAAACGGCGGAACUAGAGUUCGGGAGAGGAGAGUGGAAUUCCCAGUGUAGAGGUGAAAUUCGUAGAUAUUGGGAAGAACACCGGUGGCGAAGGCGGCUCACUGGCUCGUAACUGACGCUCAUGCACGACAGCGUGGGGAUCAAACAGG